rnacentral:lncRNA from 1 species
GCUAAACGACAUGUCCCAAAUUCUAAACAUUUUAAUGGGAGUAUUAAAAGGGGGCCGCACAAUUUACGUAUUUUAUUUCGCAUGGCACACCUUACUUUGUUUUAAAGGCCAACCUAGAGAUGAACUAUGAUUAUCUAAUGAUGACUAUCACUAAAAUCCAAUAUUAAUUCAUUAAUAGUAUGACUAAGAAAUCUAAUGCCUGUAUAUAAAUCAUCAUACCCUAUGGUGGAUUAGGCUUUCAUCACAUUAAGUCUCAAAUCAACCCAAAUAGAAAUGGAAAUCAAUCUGCCAAAUUAUGAGAAACUACUUAACAUUCAUGCCUCAGCACAAGCCCGAGUGAGCGGCAAGUAAAAACUGGAGCGGGGCUAUACACCAGCAGAACUGUGACCCAAAUUAAUAAAAACCGGGCGCCUUCAUCCAACUAGCAUGCCCCAAACUGCAACUGGACCUUAAUUUGGUUUUAUGGCUAUUGAACUUAUUUCAAAUUGUUCAAUUGCAUUCAAUGAUUUUUGUGACAAAAAACCCAUAUAGUUCCAUUCAAAUCAACAACUGUUGUUUUGUUAAAUUCAAAUUUCAUGUUCAGAUCGUGUUUAAUAAAUUAUUGCAAACAUUUUUCAAAAAAAGAAAUGAUUAAACUAAAGUGAUUAUCAACUAUAUUGAGAUAUCAAACUUAGAAUAACCUUGAUAUGCUGAAGCGUUCAUUUCCUGAUUUCAAAAUCAAAAAUGCCGAAAUUAAAACUAAAGCUCAUAUGUUAGAUCUAAACUUUACGUUUCCUAUGGAAUUUCAGUAUUUAUUCUAAAAACCAGCUUUAUGUCCGUAUUACAUUCUAACUUUAACCCUUCAAACUAACAAGAUACUAUUUAUACUAACAUUUAAUCCUGAGAGUUGAUCUUAGAUCAACAAACUAUUAAGCAAAAGCAUUCACGGAAUGAUAAAAAAACGUUUAAAUGAUCAAAUACAGUCCAUACUGUCCCAUUAAUAUAGUUAUUAUAGAAUUCAAAUGACUACAAAUGUGAACUACACUAAUACUAAGGUUAAGUAGAGGAAAAUAACAACAACUUGCACUUCAAUCUCUUCCGAUGUAAACCAUACAUUUGACUCAAUUUCAUAUCAUUUAAGAUUAAGAAAUACCUGGAAGUUGGAACACAAUGAGAAGAAAGAGGAAUCAACAAUAGUGAACAAAUAUCAGCAGCGAAAUCAAUGACAACACAGCUCACAAACAGCCAGAAUUCCAGGAAAAGGGAACGUGAUGCAAUUGACUUUCAAAGGAGCUUCAAUCAACCAAAUUUACCAGUUGGAUUUGGAAUCAAGCUCGAAAAACUAAUAAAGUUGAACAAAACAAACUGGAGAAGCUUUUACCUUAUAUUUUGGUUAGUUUUUCAGGAUUUUUGUUUCUAGGAUCUAAUAUUUCGCAUUUAAACUAGUCUACCUCUACCCGAUUGUUUUCGAUUUUUAGUAGGUUUUCAAUAGGUUUCUGGAUCUGAACUUGAACUUUUCAAUGUUUCACUUUCCAAAACUCUAAUAACUGAGUUGAAUUUGAAUUUCAAAUUUUUGGGAUCUCCAAACUUUCUGCAAACUUAUGGGAUUUUUC